CAGGGGCGCGCCUCUACUUCAUUCUCGCGAGAUUUCAUUCAGGAAGUGAACAGCGAACACGUUGUUUGGAUGGCGUUGUACAACACUCAUGGCGGGACGACUGAAGAAACAAGCGAAAGAUGCCUUAAAGAUCAUAGGAUGUGGCAGUGCCCUGUUCCUGGGAUACCUCACAGCCUCCGGAGAUGAGCGUUUCUAUGCCAGCUCUCUCAUGCCUGUGCUGCAGAGGUUUGUGGGAGCAGAGACGGCUCAUGUCAUGGCUGUUCGGGUGAUUGGUCUUGGACUUGUGCCUUACAACAACUACAAGGACCCAGCCUCACUGGAAGUGCAUGUGAUGGGUCGAAAGUUUCAGAACCCAGUUGGGUUAGCAGCAGGCUUUGACAAGCACGGUGAGGCAGUGGAUGGCCUCUAUAGACUGGGCUUUGGUUUCGUGGAGGUGGGAACUGUAACCCCAAAGGCGCAGGAUGGCAACCCAAAGCCACGUGUGUUUAGACUGGAGUCAGACCAAGCCGUCAUUAACAGAUAUGGGUUCAAUAGUUGUGGCCUUUCUGCACUGCAAGAAAGGUUGAAAGCCAGAAAGAAUAUCCAGUCAGAACUAACAAAAGCAGGUAAACCUCUUGGCAUCAAUCUGGGGAAGAACAAGCUUUCUACAGAUGCGGUGUCAGAUUAUGUGGAGGGAGUGCAGACAAUGGGCCCUCUCGCUGACUACCUAGUAGUUAAUGUUAGCAGCCCCAACACUCCUGGCCUUAGAGACCUACAGGGCAAGGGAGAACUGCGCCACCUUCUGGACAAGGUGCUUAAAGAGCGGGAUUGCUUGCGGAGUGAGAACCGACCGCCUGUGCUGGUGAAGAUUGCGCCAGAUCUUUCGACACAGGACAAGCAAGACAUUGCUGAGGUCAUCAUGGAGGUUGGUGUUGAUGGUUUGAUGGUUUCCAACACCACAGUUUCCAGGCCAGACACCCUAAAAGACCUAAAUAAACAUGAAAUAGGGGGCCUCAGUGGUCAACCUCUGAAAGAGCUGUCCACUCAAACAGUGCGAGAGAUGUACACAUUGACACAAGGUACCCUUAAAUGGGAAGUUACCCAUUGUUGGAGUUGGUGGAGUGGCCAGCGGACAGGAUGCCCUAGAUAAGAUUCGUGCAGGAGCUUCUCUUGUCCAGCUCUACACGGCUCUAGUAUACCAGGGUCCGCCUGUAGUCAGAAAGAUCAAAAGAGAACUUGAUGAUCUACUAAAAGCACAAGGUUUUACAUGUGUAGCAGAGGCAGUAGGUGCUGAUCAUAGAGCAACAGAGAAAACUGCAAAACUGCAGACCUAAAAGGAAGGCUCACACACCAGAUGUGAUGUGUUGUCAGAGAGUUUGGCUGCUCAUAAUGCAUUCUGGAUUUACUGUUGCACAUUGGUCUCAUUCCAUAUUUUCUUUUAAGCAUAAUUUUGGAGUCAUUUAUUUACAAGAUUGGAACCUCUUAUAUAAAAAUGUAUUGUGGUUUAGGCAUGCUCUGGUGACAUGACUCAUGCCUUGCUGGUGUUGUAAAUGAAUUCUAGGUAAUGUAAAAAUGCAAACAUGAGUGGCUAACAUAUCUGAUAUUUUAUGCCUCUGAGUUAAAGAAAUAUGUGAAUUUGAAUAAAUGUUGUGCACUGCUUAAGAUUUGUAUAUAAAAUGUAAACUAAUCACAGUGGUAAUGCAUUUGAUUUCAUUACA